GACGAACGCUGGCGGCGUGCUUAACACAUGCCAGUCGAACGAAGAGCGAUGGACGCUUGCUUCUAUCAAUCUUAGUGGCGAACGGGUGAGUAACGCGUAAUCAACCUGCCCUUCAGAGGGGGACAACAGUUGGAAACGACUGCUAAUACCGCAUACGAUCUAACCUCGGCAUCGAGGAUGGAUGAAAGGUGGCCUCUAUUUAUAAGCUAUCACUGAAGGAGGGGAUUGCGUCUGAUUAGCUAGUUGGAGGGGUAACGGCCCACCAAGGCGAUGAUCAGUAGCCGGUCUGAGAGGAUGAACGGCCACAUUGGGACUGAGACACGGCCCAGACUCCUACGGGAGGCAGCAGUGGGGAAUCUUCCGCAAUGGACGAAAGUCUGACGGAGCAACGCCGCGUGAGUGAUGACGGCCUUUGGGUUGUAAAGCUCUGUUAAUCGGGACGAAAGGCCUUCUUGCGAAUAGCUAGAAGGAUUGACGGUACCGGAAGAGAAAGCCACGGCUAACUACGUG
rnacentral:rRNA from 1 species